rnacentral:rRNA from 1 species
UACAGAGGGUGCGAGCGUUAAUCGGAGUUACUGGGCGUAAAGGGCGCGUAGGCGGUUUAAUAAGAUUGAUGUGAAAUCCCUGGGCUUAACCUAGGAACUGCAUCGAUGACUAUUGAGCUGGAGUAUUGUAGAGGGUGGUGGAAUUUCCGGUGUAGCGGUGAAAUGCGUAGAUAUAGGAAGGAACACCAGUGGCGAAGGCGACCACCUGGACUGAUACUGACACUGAGGUGCGAAAGCGUGGGGAGCAAACAGG